UGCACCGGUGUGUCCCUGCUAGCUGCAGCAUGCGUGGAGGCCCACCCUGCACCGGUGUGUCCCUGCUAGCUGCAGCAUGCGUGGAGGCCCACCCUGCACCGGUGUGUCCCUGCUAGCUGCAGCAUGCGUGGAGGCCCACCCUCAUGAUGCACUAUUGCUGGUACAGGACCACAUUCCAACAUGUCAUCUCAUGAGACAGUUUUCAACUGACCAUUGCAGAGACCUCCAGAACCUGUGAAGGUGUCAUCAAUAUUUAUCCAUGGUGGCAUGUGUGCUGAGAUGGGUCUGGUAGGGUUAGCUAUUGAUAAGGUUAGCAAUCGAUAGGGUUUGCCAUCAAUAGGGUUAGGGUUAGCCAUCAAUAGGUAGCACAUUGGCGUUGUAUAACUUUUGGCACAAAGAGUGUUCUGCAGACAUAAAUAUAGGAACCCAGAUAUAGAUCUGAUAGACUGUAUGACUGUGCAAUCAGCCAUCAAGUGCAGAUGGAACAAUCACUCGGAUAUAGAUUAGAGGUGGAGGUACAUGGAUGCUUUACGUGCCAGAGAAACUUUCCCUCCGGUUAUCUGUUAUCCACGUUUCUACGCAGGGCUGUCUUUAGGUGUGUUUGGCUUCCUUCACCAGGCCAGAGCAAGCCUUUACAGAUGAGAUAGAUCGGAGGCAACACUGGCCUUUGGCAGAACUUUUCUGUUCUCGAUACAGAUGCCUGGUGCAUACUGCUAGAAAACUGCUCUUAGAUAAUCUUGGAGCGUUUAAAUAGUUCCUUGACUUGAUGGCUCUUUCAUGGGACCCACAGUUACAUUGCUUCAUUCUAUACUUCUUCAGUUUGAACUGCUUCAUGGUAAGAGUGCAAAUAGAAAGCAGCUGUUACUUGUGUAUGUGUGUGUUUACUUAUAGUUUGCCAUUCAGCAGACGUAUGUUUGGCCGUGUGCAGAGAUGGAAAAAGUACUCACAUCCUUCACUCAAGUAGAAGUACAGAUACUCAUGUUUAAAAAGACUGGUUGAAAAGUAAAAAAGCAUGGAUGGGCUCUGAUAUAUACUCAAGUAAAAAUGUGCCAUUACUACUACUACUUGUUUUAGUGUCACGCUGGUGACUGGACCUCAUAUCAUAUUAAUACGUUAAUACAAAAACACACUAUAGACAUGCAGCGCAUUUGACAGGAAUUCUUUUUUACUUUAAAAAGUUUCAAGUUUUUUGUAACUUAUUUUCAAAAACACACACACAUUGAAAGGAGAGGAAAGGUAAGAGGGGAACAGAAAAACCUAAAGCAGAGUAGAUUAAAGCAGAGCAGAGUACAAUAGAGUACAGUAUUGUAGAAUCCUCAUCAAGUACUCAUCAAUGAUGCAAACUUUGUUUUCUAAACAAACAAAACAAAAUAUUGUUGUCUUCUGCCCUGCUUCAUCGUACCUUCGUAGACUAGCUUAGGUUUGUUGUGUAUGAUAGCCAGGAAAUGAAAAAAGGCACGCAAUGACAAUAAAUAAUAUUGAUCAUGCCACCAAAUAUAGAUUAAAACUUAAGUAACAAGCCUGGCUUGAAAAUGUAAGAAGUAUAAAGUACAGAUAUUUGUGAGUGAAAGUAAAAAGUUAAUAGUCUAAAUAAAUAGUGAAGUAAAUUACUGAUACCAAAAAAUCACGACCAAACAAAAUACAGAAACAAAGUAUUUGUACUUUGUUACUUCCCAUCUUUGGCCUUGUGUGUUCCUGUGUGUCUGUGUACAUCAUUGUGUAAGUCUGUAUGUGUUUAAUAAGCGUGUGCAUGUGUGUGCGUUUGUGUGUGUGUGUGUGUGUGUGUGUGUGUGUUUGUGCGUGUGUGUGUGUGUGUGUGUGUGUGUGUGUGUGCGCUGUACAGUCCUUCCCAGGGGCUGCAUGGAUGAGUCAUCCAAGCUCUUCAGAUGCUUCAGACCCUGAUGGAGUGUGAAAUACGGAGACACACACACACACUCAGGUAGAAUACCCCCCCCCCCCCCCCACACACACACACACACUCAGGUAGAAGACACACACACACACUCAGGUAGAAUACCCCCCCCCCCCCACACACACACACACACACUCAGGUAGAAGACACACACACACACUCAGGUAGAAGACCCAAGACUAUUCAAAAUCUGCCAUUGACAAGGUGCAUCUUUCUGAUGGAGCUGAUCUGGAAGAGCUGGUUCUAGUGGUGUAGUAGCGGGUUAUGAUGGUACCAGGACCAGUACCCAGAGCAGACUGGUAGCAGCUGGACGGUGAGACUGGGUUGUUGUUAGCUGUGGAUAAUAAGGGUGGGCUGCUGAAUGGGGGGGCUGCAAGAAUGGUGUGUCUGGAACAUCCUGCCUGCAUGUUGCCUUCAUCAGCCCUGGAGAAGAACCAGCCCUAGACACAUUGGCUAUUGCUAAUGUCAGUGCCAGCAUAGGAUCCAUCUACUCAUAAUGUUGUAUACUGUUAUUGAUUUAUAUUCUUGUUUAUGUUUUUCUUACAUAUAUCUUAUGUAAGGAUGUUAUUCUAAUUAUGUGUAUUUAUUCUGUUAGUUCACUGUAAGGGAGUUUAAUGUGGGGUUGUUUUGCACCUUAAUGAUUUUGUUUACAUAUUUAUUUGCUGUGUGUGAGUGUGUGUAACAUCUGCAGUUCCGUUAUGUACCUGGCCCUAACCCUAAGCCUAACCCUCAGAGCAUAAACCAUAUCUGCAAUUAAAGCAAACCUCCUGUACCUGCUCCCAGAUGAAGGAACAUCACUUUGGCCUUGUGGACUUCAACCUGUUCAUGAUGUAACAUCGGGCAAACACUGAACUCACAUUACUACAAUAUAUGGUCAGUUUUAAACUGAAGUCAUGACAUACUAUUUUACAGAUCCCCUUGUGGUAAAGCAAACAAGUUAAUUUAAAAAUACUGUAGUUCCACUUCCAUUUCUGUGCAAGUACAGCCAUUGUAUUCAAGAAUGAGUUCUGAGCGUUCUGUGUUCCGUGUUCUAGACAGACGGUGGUUCCACUCUCUGCAUGGCAGGGCAGCAUGGCAGAUCUAUGGGCCGCAUGUCUUUAUUAUGAACAUCCAGCAACACUUUCCACUGCUGAAUGUAGCCCAGCCCAGUCGCUCAGCUUACCGGUUAUAAACUGUGGAGAAAAACUAUUGUACCUUCACCCAGGUCCAGAACACAGAGCAGGUCAGGGGUCAGAGUUCAGCCCCACUAUGUCCCUUCCUUGUGAAGAUCUGUGCUAGACGAGAACCCAUAUUUCAUAGUCUGUCUGUUGUGCUGAAUCCCUUCCUGUUGCACCAGGAUCUGUACAUAGGUCAGCCAGAAGGAAGAAGAAAAUAA